rnacentral:lncRNA from 1 species
CCCUCACAAAUCACCCCUGGCAGACAGAAUCUCACUGAGGAUGAAGAUAUUUGCUCUGUUAGCAUGGAAAACAUGCACUCCAAGUCUUGUUGGAGUGUAAACUGCCUGGAAGCUCUUUUUUCCCAAGGAAUGUAUUUAUUCAAUCCCUCUUUGAUCAUCCAGGGAUAGAAGCCUCAGCUAUGUCUGUGCACAUAAAACAAUUUUUUUGUUGCAGCGACCCAAGCAGGUUGGUUUAGUGACAGUGAUUUAUGGAGAGCUCCCUUUUUGGAGGCUAUAAUGUUAAUUAAUUGCUUCUGGAGGACUUGGAUAAAAAGCAUAUUUACUCCUGCCACAGUCAAACGCUCAAUAUUUUGUGCAUUCCCCAAAUCUUUCCCAUGGAUGUCCACAGAACAAUGGCCCAGCAAACGAGGCAGCUGCAGGAGGAGAUCAGACACAAUUCUGAAAUAGUCAAUUAUUUAGAUUAAUUAAUGAGUAAUGCCUCUGCAUGCAUUUUGCAUGUCAUUUGAAUAUUCCAAAGCCAGAGCUUUCAGUUGUUACUGUGCCUCUGGCAGAGCCACAUUCCUUGCAGCAAUCCCAGGGAAUGCUGCUCUGCAGAAACUUCAGGAUUUCUUCUUGCCAGGAGUCCUUGGGAAACCCAGCAGCAUCUCUGAGGACCAUCAGGGAUUGGUGUUUAAACUGGUUCCAGGGCAGAAGAAGCUCUGAACAUGCGAGGGUUCCGUGGACACAUCCAGAGGUGGAACUUCCACAGACCUGCCCAAACAUCCAGAACUGGGCUGUACAGACACAAUCCCUCCUCACCACGAAUCCAGGGCUGUUCACACCCUCCAGUUCAGCAGCAUUCCCUGGAGCUGCUCUGCACUCGGAGAGACAAACUCACCUUCUCCCUGGAUGCCUGUUUGUGGGUAAGGCUGUGAUGAGUCACAGAGAUCCAGGAACUCCUGGGGGCUGGGAAUCCAUGGGAACAGCUCAUUUCCAAGGGACCAAGCUCAGGUAUGUGUGCACAGAAAGCAAUUCCUUCUCCUCUGCUGACUCAUUUCCCUGGGAGAGCGGCACAAGGGCCAGAAAAGCCUUGCCUGCAUUGUUAGGUCAGUCCCUUCCAAAUUAA